AUACUUCCCUGGUAGAGGAGGUAGCGUGUCACGAAGGUGGUUUUCCUAGGUGGGGGCUCAUUCAUUGCACUCUGGAUGUGCUGACCCCUGCAAUGUCCCCAAAUAUGGGACACCUGACUGCAAAAUUUGUGGUAGUGCAGGACUGUGUUCAUACCUCCCCCUA
ensembl:snRNA U1 U1 spliceosomal RNA